AGCUCAAGCAUCUCCAUCUCAUCCAAACCCUCUCCACCUCUCUCCAUCCCUCCAUCCCUCCAUCUCCGGGCGCUCCAGCAGACUCUCUCUCUUUAUCUUUCUGUCUUUCUCUCUCUCUCUUUCAGUCUCUCUUUCCCUGUCUCUCCCUCUGUCUCUGUCUCUUGCUGUCUCUCUCUCUCUCUCUCUCUCUAACUCUGUCUUUCUCUUGGUCACUCUCUCCAUUUUUGUCACUCUGUUGCUUUCUGUCUAUCUUUGUUUCUCUGCGUGUCUCUCUCUCUCCAUCUCCCUCUCUCUCUCUCUCGCGCUCUCUCUAUCGCUUUCUCUCGGUUGCCGUGGUUACAGCCACUCAUGGUAGAUAGGAGAAGGUGCCGGAGAUCAAACAGCUGUUGUGUCCAGAUGUCGUUCUCCUUCUCCCGUUGCUACGGACCUUUGUUCUCCUCUGAGUACAGGUGCAGCACCCCCGAACACACACACACACACACACACACACACACACA